AGUGAACGCUGGCGGUAGGCCUAACACAUGCAAGUCGAACGGCAGCACAGAGGAGCUUGCUCCUUGGGUGGCGAGUGGCGGACGGGUGAGGAAUACAUCGGAAUCUACUCUGUCGUGGGGGAUAACGUAGGGAAACUUACGCUAAUACCGCAUACGACCUACGGGUGAAAGCAGGGGAUCUUCGGACCUUGCGCGAUUGAAUGAGCCGAUGUCGGAUUAGCUAGUUGGCGGGGUAAAGGCCCACCAAGGCGACGAUCCGUAGCUGGUCUGAGAGGAUGGUCAGCCACACUGGAAAUGAGAAACGGUCCAGACUCCUACGGGAGGCAGCAGUGGGGAAUAUUGGACAAUGGGCGCAAGCCCGAUCCAGCCAUACCGCGUGGGUGAAGAAGGCCUUCGGGUUGUAAAGCCCUUUUGUUGGGAAAGAAAUCCAUCUGGUUAAUACCCGGGUGGGAUGACGGUACCCAAAGAAUAAGCACCGGCUAACUUCGUGCCAGCCGCCGCCGUAA
rnacentral:rRNA from 1 species